GGCCCGGUGGCGGAAAUGUCUACGCGGGGGCGAUGCAUCGCUCUUUAUCCUGGUUCAAGUCCAGGCUGGGCCUCCA
rnacentral:tRNA from 3 species